UGGCGGGCAGAGGAGGAAGACGUUGACUGUCUGCAUCUCGUGCGUGUUCACGUGUUGCCGUGUCGUCCGCGUUUGUGUUUAAUUGAACCGACAGACGCAACUCCCACGCCAAGCCCAGCUUCAGCUCCGACCUCAGCUCCACCUCCACCUCCGCUACCUGUAGUUUGGAUCGCCCUUGGAGCCAUUGCUGCUCUGGUUGCUGCUGCUGGAGUUGUGUUUUACUGCAGGAGGAGGAUGAUGAGGCCAGUUCAGUCACAAGUCCCGCCUCAAGAAAUGCAGCCAAUGAACCCAGCUGGAUAAGAUGAGGACCGACAGACGCAAGACCCAAGCCCAGCUUCACGUCCAGCUCCAUCGCCCGCAGCUGGUAUCGUCCUCGGAGUCUUUGCCGCUCCGGGUGCUGUUGCUGGAGUUGGUUUAUUAAUUUUUUUUACUGCAGGAAGAAUAUUGACGAGUUGAUUCCUCGGCCCCGUGAUAUCAGAAUCGGAAAGGGUUUUUAUCCGCCGGUAAAGUUCGCGUAGACAAGGAAUUUUCUUUGGCAGGAAGGUGCAUACAUUAAACAUAUAGGAAUCCUAAAUAAGUGGUAUACAUGUCUAAUGAUAUUAAAGGUACAAAAUCUAACUAACACUAAGGGGCUAAAGUACGUAAAAAUUUUGAAUAAAUAUCUAACAUAAAGCAGCUAUAAGAUACAACGUAAUAAAUACAAUCGACGCCGAUAGGUGAAUUAUAUACUGUGAAACAUUUUUUUUUGGGGGUGGGGGGUAAUUUUUACAUCAGAGUAGAGCACAGUCUUCCCUCUCGCGGGUUCAGCUAUCACGGUUUUGCAGUUUCAUGCCAAAUGUGUUGAGGUGCAGAGCUCGCUGAUCGUGCACCUGUGGCUGGACCAUUCGCGCUUGAUGGCGAGAUUUGUGUACGCGCAGUAACUGCACCAAUCUCGAUCCUGAUGAUGCUGCUGCUGCUGCU